rnacentral:rRNA from 1 species
AGUGAACGCUGGCGGUAGGCCUAACACAUGCAAGUCGAACGGCAGCACAGUAAGAGCUUGCUCUUACGGGUGGCGAGUGGCGGACGGGUGAGGAAUACAUCGGAAUCUACUUUUUCGUGGGGGAUAACGUAGGGAAACUUACGCUAAUACCGCAUACGACCUACGGGUGAAAUCAGGGGAUCUUCGGACCUUGCGCGAUUCAAUGAGCCGAUUUCGGAUUAGCUAGUUGGCGGGGUAAAGGCCCACCAAGGCGACGAUCCGUAGCUGGUCUGAGAGGGUGAGCGGCCACACUGGAACUGAGACACGGUCCAGACUCCUACGGGAGGCAGCAGUGGGGAAUCUUGGACAAUGGGCGAAAGCUUGACGUAGCAAUGCAGGGUGAGUGAAGAAGGUCUUCGGAUCGUAAAGCUCUGUAAGUAGGGAAGAAGAGAAGUAAAAGAAAAUAUGCAUGUUUUGACGGUACCUAAACAGAAAGCCACGGCUAACUUCGUG